rnacentral:misc_RNA from 1 species
GGUUUAUUAACUUGGAUGCUUUUGUUACUUCAUUUCUGAACAUGAUAUUACUAGUUUAUUGUUAUUUUCAACUCUCUUCCACUCCCAGCCUCCCUCCCUUGAUCUGUGUGUCUCUCCCUCCACACACAUGAAGCCAAUACCAGAUAUAGGUGUUUGCCCAUCCACCCUACCAAUUUAGGCCAGUGGUGUAUGAUGAUUGUGAAACAAAGCCAUAUUUAUUGAGUUUUGUCUUGCCCCAAACUCAUGCAGCACUUCUUUUGUCCUUGUGCUGCAU